AACGAACGCUGGCGGCAGGCUUAACACAUGCAAGUCGAGCGCCCCGCAAGGGGAGCGGCAGACGGGUGAGUAACGCGUGGGAAUCUACCGUGCCCUACGGAAUAGCUCCGGGAAACUGGAAUUAAUACCGUAUACGCCCUACGGGGGAAAGAUUUAUCGGGGUAUGAUGAGCCCGCGUUGGAUUAGCUAGUUGGUGGGGUAGAGGCCUACCAAGGCGACGAUCCAUAGCUGGUCUGAGAGGAUGAUCAGCCACAUUGGGACUGAGACACGGCCCAAACUCCUACGGGAGGCAGCAGUGGGGAAUAUUGGACAAUGGGCGCAAGCCUGAUCCAGCCAUGCCGCGUGAGUGAUGAAGGUCUUAGGAUUGUAAAGCUCUUUCACCGGUGAAGAUAAUGACGGUAACCGGAGAAGAAGCACCGGCUAACUUCGUGCCAGCAGCCGCCGUAA
rnacentral:rRNA from 1 species